UCUGCAGUUUGACAUUUAGGAUCAGAUGUGUGAGAGACGAGACAGAAUGAGACAUGCUGUCCUGCAGGAGUCAGAGGAGGAGGUGAUGAAGACGAGGAUGGAGCUUCAUCCUGACCUUAUGUCUGCUGUUUGACUAACACAUGAUCCUCAGGAUGAUUUACAGUGUGUGUGUGUGUGUGUGUGUGUGUGUUUCAGAUAACAGGGUCUAAAUAUAAGUCCUGAGGGAUUCAGUGACAACAGCCAACAGCUCCUGUAGCCCCGCCCACUCUGACCUGCUGCCAGUCACUGUGACUGUUUCAACAGUGACACUGCUUUGACAAACUGAGCCUUUAAACGUCAUCACGGUCUCUGAUGGAAGACAUGAAACACCAGAGAGCGUCAGUUAGUCUGAAACCACAGAAGAAGAAAGUUCCCCUGCAGACAGACGAGGAGCGCUCUGACAUGUUUGUUUGUUGACUUGUUGUUGUUUACUCCAGUCUGUGUGUGUUUCAGUAUUCAGAUCAGAUCUGAGGUCAGUUCACAGACGCUGGCAGUCAAACUGUUUCCUGACUGACUUCUUCACACUCUCACAGAGACACUGAGGGACUCAAACAUGUCAUUAAAACAAUCUGCAGUUAUAUUUCAUGUUCAUAUAAAUACAUAGAUUCACUCAGACUGAUGACAGUAUGAAUGUCUUCACUCUGCUGACUCAUGACGACGUCAUUUAAUGUUUACAUUCUUUAUUUUAACACGUCGUCAUUUUCUGAAUCUUUUUAAGGAGUUACUGAACCUGAGAAAUUUAGAGUUUGAUUUAAGUACAGAAAUAAAUCAGUUCAAAUGAUAAACAUUCAAAUCAUUCAGUCAUUGAUCAUCGUUAAUCUCUGAAAACAUCAAACAUGAUAAACAUGUAAAGAAUAAAGUCAUGAAACAUAUUAACUUCAGUUCUGUUAAAUAAGUUCUUGUUGUAGUUCAUGUUAAAUGACCUGAUUAUUGAUUAUAGAUUAAAAGUGUGAACCAGAAACUGCAGCUGAACAUGUCCUGCAGUAAAAGUAAUCAGAGUACAAGUAAUCAGAGUAAUCAUACUGCGUUCAGUCAGUGAAGGAGGACGAAGCUGAACUCUGUGUCCACCAACAGAAACUCUAAUGAGG